GGCUCAGGAUGAACGCGGCGGGCGUGCCUAACACAUGCAAGUCGAACGAAGAGGUCCCUUCGGGGAUACUUCAGUGGCGGACGGGUGAGUAACACGUAGGUGACCUACCCCGAAGUGGGGAAUAACAGUCCGAAAGGAUUGCUAAUACCCCAUGUGAUCGACGAGGUUAGAGUCUUGUCGAUUAAAGCAGUAAUGUGCUUCGGGAGGGGCCUGCGCCCCAUCAGCUAGUUGGUAGGGUAAUGGCCUACCAAGGCAACAACGGGUAGGGGGCCUGAGAGGGUGACCCCCCACAUUGGCACUGACACACGGGCCAAACUCCUACGGGAGGCAGCAGUGAGGAAUAUUGCUCAAUGGGCGAAAGCCUGAAGCAGCAACGCCGCGUGCGCGAUGAAGGCCUUCGGGUCGUAAAGCGCUUUUGAGAGGGACGAGAUAGGACGGUACCUCUGGAAUAAGUCACGGCUAACUACGUGCCAGCAGCCGCGGUAAAACGUAGGUGGCAAGCGUUAUCCGGAUUCACUGGGCGUAAAGCGCGUGCAGGUGGCCUCGUAAGUUGGACGUUAAAUUUCCCGGCUUAACCGGGAAGGGCCGUUCAAUACUGCGGGGCUUGAGGGCAGGAGAGGGGGGUGGAAUUGCUGGUGUAGUGGUGAAAUGCGUAGAUAUCAGCAGGAACACCUGUGGCGAAAGCGGCCCCCUGGUCUGCUCCUGACACUCAGACGCGAAAGCUAGGGGAGUGAACGGGAUUAGAAACCCCGGUAAUCCUAGCUGUAAACGAUGGAUGCUAGGUGUGGGUGGUAUUGACCCCAUCCGUGCCGAAGCCAACGCGUUAAGCAUCCCGCCUGGGGACUACGGU
rnacentral:rRNA from 1 species